rnacentral:lncRNA from 1 species
AGGAAAAAGGAAAAUAAGAAGAGGAGGAGAAGAAAAGAAGAAGGAGAAGGAGAAUAAGAACAGGAGAGGAGAAGAAGAGGAAAAAUAGAAGAAGAGGAGAAGUAGAAGAAGAGGAGAAGUAGAAGAAAAAGGGGAGAAGAAGAAGAAGCGGAGAAGAAGAAGAAGAAGAAGAAAAAGAAGAAGAAGAGGAAGAAGAAGAGGAGGAGGAGGAGGAGAAGAGAAAGAGGACAAGAAGAAAAUAAUAAUAGGAAAUAAGAAAAUAAGAAGAGGAGGAGAAGAAAAGAAGAAGAAGAAAAGAAGAAGAAGAAGAAGAAGAAGAAGAAGAAGAAGAAGAAGAAGAAGAAGGAGAAUAAGAAGAGGAGGAGAGGAGA